UGGGGAAUUUUGGACAAUGGGCGAAAGCCUGAUCCAGCAAUGCCGCGUGUGUGAAGAAAGCCUUCGGGUUGUAAAGCACUUUUGUCCGGAAAGAAAUCCUUGGCUCUAAUACAGUCGGGGGAUGACGGUACCGGAAGAAUAAGCACCGGCUAACUACGUGCCAGCAGCCGCGGUAAUACGUAGGGUGCAAGCGUUAAUCGGAAUUACUGGGCGUAAAGCGUGCGCAGGCGGUUUGCUAAGACCGAUGUGAAAUCCCCGGGCUCAACCUGGGAACUGCAUUGGUGACUGGCAGGCUAGAGUAUGGCAGAGGGGGGUAGAAUUCCACGUGUAGCAGUGAAAUGCGUAGAGAUGUGGAGGAAUACCGAUGGCGAAGGCAGCCCCCUGGGCCAAUACUGACGCUCAUGCACGAAAGCGUGGGGAGCAAACAGGAUUAGAUACCCUGGUAGUCCACGCCCUAAAACGAUGUCAACUAGUUGUUGGGGAUUCAUUUCCUUAGUAACGUAGCUAACGCGUGAAGUUGACCGCCUGGGGAGUACGGUCGCAAGAUUAAAACUCAAAUGAAUUGACGGGGUCAUAGCUGUUUCCU
rnacentral:rRNA from 1 species